rnacentral:rRNA from 1 species
GCAAGUCGAGCGCAGUCCUUCGGGACCGAGCGGCGGACGGGUUAGUAACGCGUGGGAACAUACCCUUCUCUAAGGAAUAGCCACUGGAAACGGUGAGUAAUACCUUAUACGCCCUUCGGGGGAAAGAUUUAUCGGAGAUGGAUUGGCCCGCGUUAGAUUAGAUAGUUGGUGGGGUAAAGGCUUACCAAGGCAACGAUCUAUAGCUGGUUUGAGAGGAUGAUC